CCCGCGUCCAGCUCCGCCUGCGCCCGGCAUGCACACGGCUGGCGGCAGCUCAGAUCUUCCUCUGCUGCCGUCCGAGGGGGACAUCCUGAGCCUAGCGCUCCACCUGUCUCGGGCACCCUGCGCGCAGCCGCCCAGGGGUCACCGCUGGGGGCCCGCAGAUCUCGCCAAGUCAGCCCGGGUAGGGCCCUGGGCGCCGGAAACCCGGGAUCUCCACUCCAGGGCGUUUCCUCUCUCUCUCUCUCUCUCUCUCUCUCUCUCUCUCUCUCUCUCUCUCUCUCUCUCUCUCUCUCAGCGGAGAGUUGGAAAAACCCCUCUCCUGACCCCAAGAAGAGAGAUCUCGGAUUUGAGGACUCCUAUUCACCGUUCAGGUCACACCCUGUGACCUCCUGGCCCUUUGCACCCAGGCGCCGCUCCGGAGGCUUCCCGGUAGUCGCCGAGCCUGCUGGGGAGGUCGGGGGCCAAGGCCACUCCACCGCCGCCGAAAGUCCACCUGCCACCCGGGCCACCGCCACUACUGAAUCUGGGUCGCCAAAGAUAAAUCGGGUUCUGAGGGCCUGUAACAGAACAGGUGACCUGUAACAGAACAGGAUCGUGAGAAGGGACGGCGGGCGAGGCCGCAGGGUCGAGGGAACCUGCCAACUAGAGCGACGUCGCCUCCUGCAGGGUCGGGCUAAGCCAGCGCGUGGGUGGCGAGCGCCUCCGCCCUUGCCCGGGAUGCCCGGAGCAGGAGGCUCACCAGCCCAGGCCAGGUUCCCCGUUUGGUGAAGAAGGCGAGGCCGGUCUUCCGAGUUUACUUCCAACUCUUAGAUCCUUCCUCUCCUUCCCCCACCCCGCCGGGGACCCCAGGGUCCCUCCCUUGGCCAGCCCCCGCACCCUGAACCCCGUUCCUACCUUCCACGGCCCUGAUGUCCGCGCCCACGGCAGCUGCGCUUUUCCGGAGCAGGAGCCGGAGCUGCGCUGGCGACUCCGCGCGGGGCUUGCUGUGCGCCAAGGAGGGAUUCGCCGGGGACUACCCGGAGGUGGGGUGAUGCUCCGCACCCCAAGGCUGGCCCCGAGGCUCAGGCGGACGGGCCGGAGAGGGACAGCCGCGCCCCUCGCCAGCCGCGGGACCGGCCCACCUCUGCCGCGGGGCUGCUGCGCCCCACAGGCCGUGCGGUCCUCCAGGCGGCUGGCCGCUCGCCCUCCUGGGCUCCUCUCCGCUGCCGCUGCCGCCGCCACCCUGCUGGUUCAGGUGCGGCCCUGGCCGCCAGUGUGUCCCCCCCGCAUCUCACCCCCUGCUCCGGGUGGGUCCUGGCUCGCCUCCGCGCAGCUGCACCCCUAAUCCCGGCGUUACACAGUAACUGUCCCCUUCGCGGAGACCCCCUCAGCGCCAGGACCUGCAGAACGGGCCAGCCGUCGGCGGACACGCAGGACCGCGGCACCCACAACCCAGGACCCCCAAGCUCCUCGCCACAGCACGCGGCACACCGUCCUCCAUCCUGUCUUAAGAGACUGGCGGUAGAGCACCGGGAGACGCCAGUCAGGGCCCAGCCGCCGGCACCCGCAGCAACCUUGCAAAGGUUGAUUUUAGCGUGGGAGGUGCCAGAGGGCAGCUCCCUCCUCUCCUCCUGCUAAACUGGGAAAGUGCAAACCAUCCUGAGAAGGCAGAAGAGGAAGGGAGGAGGCAGAAGGGACCCGGCCACGGGAAGGGCGCGGGAAAUCUCUGCUCCCGCUUGCCCUUAAGGCUCCCCUCGCCAGGUCUGCACGCGACCCCUCCCCACCUGCACACCCCGCUUUCCGGAGGAGGAAAGUUCCAUCAACGUCCGGGGUCCCAGCUGCAGAACCGAGCCUUGGCCGGGCCCUCGGACUCCGGUGGGCAGCUGAGGAAACCCAGUCCUCCCCCAGCAGUUUCCAUCGCUGCACGCGCUGGCUUCCACAGCUCGCCCCACAGGUGGCCAGAGCUGCUCGGGUCCCCAGUGGGCCUGUCACCAGCAGGGAUGGUUUGUAAGACGUGGGAGUGAAAAGGUUUCUGGUUGAGUUGAGGUUCCCCCAAGGACCCUGGAUCAGCACUCAGAUGAACUAACCUACUUCUGUAAGAAGAAAAUUUUCCACCGACUCCUUCAAGUUUCCAUUGUGGUGGGAAGGAUACAACAAGCAUCUGGCAGAGCAGCACAGCCCAGGAGCCAGCAAGCCUGCAGAAAGACAGCCUCAAUCAUGACAAGGGACAUGCUGGCUCACACAGGACAUGCCCAUGCUUAUCUGCCAGGUUAGCAGAGCUGAACAGACCGACCAAGCCAGUACUACAAAGCCUGAGGGGAAUGCACAUGGGCCUGCAGCUGGCGUGGGCAUGUCCCCACCAGCACUGUGGAAAUGUCCAGAGCUUUGGAGCUGAAGAGAAGCUCUUUGAAAUGAGUCCUGCCUUCCAAGGUGACAGACUUCUCAGAACACCCCUUCUCCAGGUUGACAGCCAAGGGCAAGUCUUGUCCUUGACUCUAAUCAACAUGUACAGGGGGCUCGUGGUAGUGUUAUAAUGGCAAAAAUCAGAAGCAGCCUAAAGGCCAGCUGCAGAGAAAUGGCUAAGCAGUGGCACUGUCAUGGACCUUAUUGCUCUGUAAGCCCCCAAAAUAUAAAAGAUGAUGUACGCCUUUGCUCAUAUUUUUAAAUUUAUUGUGGUAAAUUACACAAAACAUAAAAGUCACUGAACCAUUUUUCAGAGGACAGUUCAGUGGCAUUUGCAUGUGCUCUGUUGUGUCACCAGCACUACCUCCAUCUCCAGAACUCUCCAUCUUGCACCACCGAAACUACCAGUGGAGUGUGGUUCCCCAUUCCCAUCCCACCCACCCUUCUGCUUUCUGUUUCUGUGACCUUGACUGCAUGGGCACCUCUUGUGUCUUCUGGCUGGCUGAUUUCACUCAGCACAAUGUCCUCAAGGCUGUUCUACUUUCUUUGUAGCAUCUGUCGGUUUCCUGCCUCUUAAGGCUGAGUCAUGUCCCACUGUGUGUAGAGGCCACAUCUUGCUUAUCCACUCAUCUGUUAAUGGACACUUGGACUGUGCCCUCAGUUUAUCUGUUGUGAAUAAUAUUACUACAAGAUGGGUACACUUCUUUGUGAUGACCUGCACAGCCAAACCCUAAAAACCAGCAAGGGACAAUGAGGAAUUAAGAAAGACACACAAACACAGAGACAAAUCUGGGACCCAGUGGGAUACCCACCUCAGAUGAAGGAGCAGUGGCCCAGAACUAGCUCAGCACUUUUGUUAUAUAUAGGAUCUCACAAUCAAGAAGUUAGAGCACAUUGUUGUUUGUUCACUAAAAAGUUACAGAACUAGAAACAUUUUUUGUAGCUAUUCUACUGUUGCAGUGCUGGGAACAUCCUGUUAUUACCCUGCUGAGCCCAAAACGGACAUUGUCCAGAGUUUCUGCAGAGCAGGCAGGCUUGAAGUUUGCAGCACUUGCAAGAUACCAUGGUUAUCUUCUUAUGCUCAGAAUUAUCUAUCUCCUGCAGCUGGCCUCUGGGCUCAAGGUCAAGACAGUUGUUGUUCUGUACCUUUGCACAGAAGUUCCUCAGUAGGGCAUUACCAUAGCUCCUGGGCAAUCUCAUGCUGCACUUUACACAGGAAGUUCCCAGAGUGAAGCACAGCCGCAGCUCUGAGGGAGUCAAAGACCAAGAUCUAAGUCACUGCUCUCCACACUUCUUCACUUUUAUUUAUUUUUCAAUUCAUUUCAUUUUUUUGGGGGGGGGGGUGUACUGGGGAUUGAGUCCAGGGCCUUGUACAUGCUAGGCAAGGGCUCUACCACUGAGCUACAGCCCCAGCCUCUUUCACUCAUUUUUAGCUUGACAUUAAAGAUGUUUCAUCAUUGUAAAAAGGAUAAUUUCCAAUGUAGAUAUUUAUUUUUAAAUUCAAACCUUUAUAUCAUCCUUUUUAAUUAUUUCAAAUGCCAUGUAAAUAAUAUACCAAUUCUAUUACAACCAUCACCCAUUUUUAAAAUAUAAAAACAAGUUCUUCUUUAACAAAUUUUUUAUUACUUUUGUUUCCUCCUUGAAUUGAUGAGUUCUAUCCUGCCUCCUCCAUACAUUUGAGAUCUUCUGAUGACACUUCUCUGCACAAAAAAGUCUUGCUAGGUUGCUGAGGCUGGCUUGAACCUGGAAUC